CAUGUCUUGCUGGCUACAGAGCCCAUUGCCAGAACAGCUCCGACCAAGGAAAUCAACUGCCAUGCUGGGAGGAUACCCAAAGCAGUCCUGUGGAGUGUUUCACAUGGCAAGGAACUAAGGGUCCCCUGCCAACCACCAGCACUGGCUUGCUAGACAUAUGGAUGCAACCAUUCCAAGGACAAUUUAGAGAAACAAAAUGUCAAGUCAAGAAGAAAAGUGAGGAAGGAAAACCUUUUUCAGAAACCCUGCAGCAGACUUACCUUAGGUCCUAUUGACCAAAAGUGUAUUGUAUGCUCUGUAUACUCUUGUUUUAGUGGCAAAGAUGGCUGGAAAACAACUAUUUGGCAUUUUUAGCAUCUCUAGAGGUGGGUGGUCUCUGCUACCACCACAAAGCAACCUUCAAGCAUAAAUAAGAUUUUUUUCCCUUGUUUUCUUGAAUGUUUCAAUCCAGUGAGUCUAAAAAACAUCCAACGCAGAGAUGCCAUUCAUAAUAGGUAAACAUGGAAGUAGGGCUCCUUAUUUUUUCACAGAACAAGAUCUUAGGUGAAGAGUUCUUUGUUCUAUCUUUUCAUACUAUCUUCUCUCAGUAAAUUAAAACUCAUAGUUUUGAACUUAAAUGACAAAAAACAAAAAGCUCCUUCUAAACAUUCAAUCCUUUGUUCUAUGAAAAUCUGUAAUGGACUUUUAUUGAUUUUCCCUCUUGGUAUUUCCCCUGCUCCUUUUUUGAAAAUGAUACCAAUCAAAAUUGCAAGUUAUUUUUGGAAAUUCUUAUCAUAGAAUUGAUAAUAACUUCUAAAACUCUCAGUUUUACAAAAGCUUUCCAACCAAAACCACUUCCCAAACUAGAUUUCUAGUGGCAGAGAGAAAAGAUAAAACUUAGGAUGAUUUACUUAAGUCCACAUAUUUCAUAGGAAAGCCAGAUUAUUCUUGUGAAAAUUUACAAUAUGAUGUUUCAUCAAGUCAGAUUUUUUGGAAUAGUUAAUGACAAAGAAUGAUCUCUCCUUAUGUGUGGGUGCCAGGGUGAGAGAGCACCUUCUUUCCCAAAGCCUCCUAUUGAUAAUAUGAAAAGCAUUCUUUACUGUUGCAUUUUUUUAUGACCAGACUCUGAGAUUUCAUUAGUCAGCAUUAGCAGCACAAAGAUGAUAUGUAGUUCAAUUCACUUGCAGAAAUGGAUAAGGAAUUGAAUAUGAUUUUUCCCUUUUGUUUUCUCUUUCUAGUCAAAAUGUAUUAAUUAAACUUA